UGUAGAACCUGAGAUAUGGACUGAACACCGAACAGUGUCUGGGCUAUAGAACAGAUUCAGACUUCUCUUUUGAUGCUAGGAUUUGGACUCCAAAACGGCAGAAUUGAGUCUUGGACUCUCAUGAAUAUUUUAGGUCUAUAUCUUAGCUUUCUAUU
rfam:Populus trichocarpa scaffold_19_contig_358, whole genome shotgun sequence.